UACGUAGGGUGCGAGCGUUAAUCGGAAUUACUGGGCGUAAAGCGUGCGCAGGCGGUUUUGUAAGCCAGAUGUGAAAGCCCCGGGCUUAACCUGGGAAUGGCAUUUGGGACUGCAAGGCUUGAGUGCGGCAGAGGAGACUGGAAUUCCUGGUGUAGCAGUGAAAUGCGUAGAUAUCAGGAGGAAUACCGAUGGCGAAGGCAGGUCUCUGGGCUGACACUGGACGCUCAUGCACGAAAGGCGUGGGGAGCAAACAGGAUUAGAGUACCC
rnacentral:rRNA from 1 species